GCAACAAUGUGCGUUGAAUUUUUUUUUUUUUUUUGAGAGAUAGGUAGCACGUUACCUGUUUCGUUUAUUUUAUUUAGAAAUAAACUUAGCUGAAAAUGUGAAUCAACUAGGAUUCGAACUUGGGUCUCGGGUAUCAAACACCAAGCCCUUUGCCACUUGCUCUAGGAACUGGAAAUAUGUGUUGAAUAUUAAUCGUGCUUUUGAGUUGAAUCUAGUUGCUUUUGG
rnacentral:lncRNA from 1 species